AGAGUUUGAUCCUGGCUCAGAUUGAACGCUGGCGGCAGGCCUAACACAUACAAGUCGAGCGGAUGAAGGGAGCUUGCUCCUGGAUUCAGCGGCGGACGGGUGAGUAAUGCCUAGGAAUCUGCCUGGUAGUGGGGGAUAACGUUCCGAAAGGAACGCUAAUACCGCAUACGUCCUACGGGAGAAAGCAGGGGACCUUCGGGCCUUGCGCUAUCAGAUGAGCCUAGGUCGGAUUAGCUAGUUGGUGAGGUAAUGGCUCACCAAGGCGACGAUCCGUUACUGGUCUGAGAGGAUGAUCAGUCACACUGGAACUGAGACACGGUCCAGACUCCUACGGGAGGCAGCAGUGGGGAAUAUUGGACAAUGGGCGAAAGCCUGAUCCAGCCAUGCCGCGUGUGUGAAGAAGGUCUUCGGAUUGUAAAGCACUUUAAGUUGGGAGGAAGGGCUGUAGGCUAAUAUCCUGCGGUUUUGACGUUACCAACAGAAUAAGCACCGGCUAACUUCGUGCCAGCAGCCGCGGUAAUACGAAGGGUGCAAGCGUUAAUCGGAAUUACUGGGCGUAAAGCGCGCGUAGGUGGUUCGUUAAGUUGGAUGUGAAAGCCCCGGGCUCAACCUGGGAACUGCAUCCAAAACUGGCGAGCUAGAGUACGGUAGAGGGUAGUGGAAUUUCCUGUGAAGCGGUGAAAUGCGUAGAUAUAGGAAGGAACACCAGUGGCGAAGGCGACUACCUGGACUGAUACUGACACUGAGGUGCAAAAGCGUGGGGAGCAAACAGGAUUAGAUACCCUGGUAGUCCACGCCGUAAACGAUGUCAACUAGCCGUUG
rnacentral:rRNA from 1 species